UAGUGGCGAACGGGUGAGUAACACGUGGGCAAUCUGCCCUUCACUCUGGGACAAGCCCUGGAAACGGGGUCUAAUACCGGAUAAUACUCCUGCCUGCAUGGGCGGGGGUUAAAAGCUCCGGCGGUGAAGGAUGAGCCCGCGGCCUAUCAGCUUGUUGGUGGGGUAAUGGCCCACCAAGGCGACGACGGGUAGCCGGCCUGAGAGGGCGACCGGCCACACUGGGACUGAGACACGGCCCAGACUCCUACGGGAGGCAGCAGUGGGGAAUAUUGCACAAUGGGCGAAAGCCUGAUGCAGCGACGCCGCGUGAGGGAUGACGGCCUUCGGGUUGUAAACCUCUUUCAGCAGGGAAGAAGCGAAAGUGACGGUACCUGCAGAAGAAGCGCCGGCUAACUACGUGCCAGCAGCCGCGGUAAUACGUAGGGCGCAAGCGUUGUCCGGAAAUUAUUGGGCGUAAAGAGCUCGUAGGCGGCUUGUCACGUCGGAUGUGAAAGCCCGAGGCUUAACCUCGGGUCUGCAUUCGAUACGGGCUAGCUAGAGUGUGGUAGGGGAGAUCGGAAUUCCU
rnacentral:rRNA from 1 species